UUCAGAGCCUGGAUCUCCUUGACCAGGGAGCUGAAGGAAUUGGAUUGUUCCUUGGUCUUCUGAGCUACAGCCAUGUGAGUGGAGGUGGGAGUGAAGAGAUGCACAACCUGGAGGUUUCUGAAAAGUGGGCGCUCUGCUAGGAGAAGAGAACUUCCACAGUGAAAUUGCCUAUGUCAUGGGACAGCUCUGGAUCUCUCAAGGCCCUGUCACCCAAGUACAGCCAUUGCCUCUGUCCUUUUCCUAUUGCCAGCCUUCUGUCACUGGAGGAUAUGGAGUGAUUCUAACCCUCUUGACAUCUGCUCAAGAUGAGUGUGGCUGCUUGGAGCAGUGGGACAUGAAGAGAAGACACCUAUUCAAGAUGGAGUGAUGACCAUGGAUUUGUGAAUGAUGUGGAAACACUGGAGCUCACACAGUGCUAUCAACUCAGUGAGGCUGCUGAGAGAGCUAUUGCUCUACCUCACGAAGUGAGUUCUUUUUAUUUUUUUAAUGUCCUCUCCAUUCCCACUUUCUCCAACCACUUCCAACUUAAUAUGCACUUCUGGAUUCAGACAAGUGGAGA
rnacentral:lncRNA from 1 species